UCGUGCCGUUUCUCUUCUUCAUCUUUCCGUCGACGUUCGACUAGGGCUGCGCAGCCCUUCAUCUCCGGUUCAGCAAGGCUGUCCAGUUGAUUUGUUAUCAUAUGGACUGAUAGUUUCCUUGAUGCCUUUGUGUCAAAGGGGUUAA